rnacentral:rRNA from 1 species
AUUGAACGCUGGCGGCAUGCCUUACACAUGCAAGUCGAACGGCAGCACGGGAGCUUGCUCCUGGUGGCGAGUGGCGAACGGGUGAGUAAUACAUCGGAACGUACCCUGAAGUGGGGGAUAACGUAGCGAAAGUUACGCUAAUACCGCAUAUUCUGUGAGCAGGAAAGAGGGGGAUCGCAAGACCUCUUGCUUUAGGAGCGGCCGAUGUCGGAUUAGCUAGUUGGUGAGGUAAAGGCUCACCAGGGCGACGAUCCGUAGCGGGUCUGAGAGGAUGAUCCGCCACACUGGGACUGAGACACGGCCCAGACUCCUACGGGAGGCAGCAGUGGGGAAUUUUGGACAAUGGGCGCAAGCCUGAUCCAGCCAUGCCGCGUGAGUGAAGAAGGCC